UCGUGGAUUGAUUUGUCUGGUUAAUUCCGUUAACGAACGAGACUUUAACUUGCUAGUUGGAGCAUUCCCAAUCUCUGGGCAUGCUGCUCUAGAAGGACCAUGUGUAUCUAACACAAGGAAGCGUGAAGCAAUAACA
rnacentral:rRNA from 1 species